UGACCGCUGGCGGCAUGCUUUACACAUGCAAGUCGAACGGCAGCGGGGAGGAGCUUGCUUCUCUGCAGGCGAGUGGCGAACGGGUGAGUAAUACAUCGGAACGUGUCGAGAAGAGGGGGAUAACCACCCGAAAGGGUGGCUAAUACCGCAUAAAUUCUGAGGAAGAAAGCUGGGGACCUAGGAAUAGGCCUAGCGCUUUUUGAGCGGCCGAUGUCGGAUUAGCUAGUUGGUGAGGUAAAGGCUCACCAAGGCGAAGAUCUGUAGCGGGUCUGAGAGGAUGAUCCGCCACACUGGGACUGAGACACGGCCCAGACUCCUACGGGAGGCAGCAGUGGGGAAUUUUGGACAAUGGGGGCAACCCUGAUCCAGCCAUGCCGCGUGUAUGAAGAAGGCCUUAGGGUUGUAAAGUACUUUUGUUAGGGAAGAAAAGUCAGCUGUGAAUAAUGGCUGAUACUGACGGUACCUAAAGAAUAAGCACCGGCUAACUACGUG
rnacentral:rRNA from 1 species